GAGUUUGAUCCUGAUGCUCAGAUUGAACGCUGGCGGCAUGCUUAAGCACAUGCAAGUCGAACGGUAACAGGCGGGUGCUUGCACCCGCGCUGACGAGUGGCUGGACGGGUGAGUAACGCGUAUGGAAUCUAGCCUGGCAGCUGGGGGACAACCCCGGGAAACCGGGGCUAAUACCGCAUAUACCCCCACGGGGGAAAGACCGGGACCUAUUUCGGAGGCCGGUCGCUGCCGGAUGACGCCUGCGUCUGGAUUAGUAAGAGGAGGGGUAAAAGGCCUACCGAAGGCGAAGAUACCAUAGCUGGUACUAGAGAGGGUCGAUCACAGCCACACUGGGACUGAGACAACGGCCNAAGACUCCUACGGGAAGGCAGCAAGUGGGGAAUAUUCGGGACAAAUGGGCGACAAAGCCUGAUACCAAGCAAAAGCCGAGUAGUAGUGACGAAGGGGCCCUUAACNGGGGGGUCCGGUUCANACAGGCAAGUAUAUAACCAAUAACCGGGGAAAAUGAAAAACAAAGGACGGUUAGACGGGGANNCACACCAAGGAGGGACGACAGGUACAUGGACCGAGGGGUAACACGAAGUAACGAAGAAGANAGCCACAACAGGGUUAAAACUACACGGAGGACAAAUAGAGCAAAGACCAAGAGUAGGAGAAA
rnacentral:rRNA from 1 species